GUUUAUUCAGUGGUCUUGUUUGUAAUAGUACUGAAUUUGCAGUUGAAUUAAGAAAGAGUGGAUGGUUUUAAACAACUUCACUACAAUUUAGCUCUUCGAAGUUAAUGGGUCUCAGCCCUCUUUGUGGAUAGGAACAUUGGAUUGUCUUGACUGCCACUGGUGACAUGCCAACUUACCAGAUCCGAGCUCCUACUGCUGCUUUGCCACAGGGAGUGGUGAUGGCUGCAUCGCCCGGAAGUUUGCACAGUCCCCAGCAGCUGGCAGAAGAAGCAACACGCAAACGAGAGCUAAGGCUAAUGAAAAACAGGGAAGCUGCCCGGGAGUGUCGCAGGAAGAAGAAAGAAUAUGUCAAAUGUCUUGAAAAUCGUGUGGCUGUGCUUGAAAACCAAAACAAGACUCUCAUUGAGGAACUCAAGGCCCUCAAAGAUCUUUAUUGCCAUAAAGUAGAGUAACUGUCUUUGACUUGGACCUUGUUUACUGUAAUCAAGGCAGGAGAUGCAGCAGUCCUACUUAUUGCCAUGUGGACUUGUGGGAAGGACACGUGUGACCCUUAAGAAUCCAGUUUGGAUUAGUGUUUGAAAUUGAAUUGGGAAUGUUGUUCCAGGAUGUGGAAUGCAGCCGUGAUCACACUUACCGAGCUUACUUUGAUCUGUUUGUCAAUAGCAUGCAAAAAAUGCUUUGUUUGCCCUUUGCUUCUGCGUUUUUCAGGGAAGCUGCCAAAGAAUGUCGACGUCGAAAGAAAGAAUAUGUAAAAUGUCUGGAGAGCCGAGUUGCAGUGCUGGAAGUCCAGAACAAGAAGCUUAUAGAGGAACUUGAAACCUUGAAAGACAUUUGUUCUCCCAAAACAGAUUACUAGAAAUAUUUAACUAUGAACUGAAGACAGCAUGUAUAGUUGCUUUUGAAGGAAUACAAUAUAUA
rnacentral:sRNA from 1 species